GACGGAGGAUGCAAGCGUUAUCCGGAAUGAUUGGGCGUAAAGCGUCCGCAGGUGGCAGUUCAAGUCUGCUGUCAAAGACCGGGGGCUUUAACUUCGGAAAGGCAGUGGAAACUGAACAGCUAGAGUAUGGUAGGGGCAGAGGGAAUUCCUGGUGUAGCGGUGAAAUGCGUAGAGAUCAGGAAGAACAUCGGUGGCGAAGGCGCUCUGCUGGACCAUAACUGACACUCAGGGGACGGAAAGCUAGGGGGAGCGAAAUGGG
rnacentral:rRNA from 1 species